rnacentral:rRNA from 1 species
CGCCGCGGUAAACCAGCUCUUCAGUGGUCGGGAUAAUUAUUGGGCUUAAAGUGUCCGUAGCCGGUUUAGUAAGUUCCUGGUAAAACCGGGCAGCUUAACUGUCCGUAUGCUAGGAAUACUGCUGUGCUAGAGGGCGGGAGAGGUCUGAGGUACUACAGGGGUAGGGGUGAAAUCUUAUAAUCCUUGUAGGACCACCAGUGGCGAAAGCGUCAGACUGGAACGCGCCUGACGGUGAGGGACGAAAGCCAGGGGAGCGAACCGGAUUAGAUACCCGGGUAGUCCUGGCCGUAAACGAUGCAUACUAGGCAAUGGUGCGGCCAUGAGCCGCAUCAGUACCGUAGGGAAACCGUUAAGUGUGCCGCCUGGGAAGUACGGUCGCAAGGCUAAAACUUAAAGGAAUUGGCGGGGGAGCACCACAAGGGGUGAAGCCUGCGGUUCAAUUGGACUCAACGCCGGGAAACUUACCAGGGGAGACAGCAGAAUGACAGUCAGGUUGACGACCUUACUCGACGAGCUGAGAGGAGGUGCAUGGCCGUCGCCAGUUCGUGCUGUGAGGUAUCCUGUUAAGUCAGGCAACGAACGAGAUCCGCGCCUUUAUUUGCCAUCAAGAAGUCACGACUUCGUUGGGAACACUAAAGGGACCGCCGUCGAUAAGACGGAGGAAGGAGCGGGCAAAGGCAGGUCAGUAUGCCCCGAAACCCCUGGGCUACACGCGGGCUGCAAUGGUGCGAACAAUGGGCUGUAACUCCGAAAGGAGAAACCAAUCCCGAAAUCGCAUCUCAGUGGGGAUUGUCGACUGUAACUCGUUGACAUGAACGUGGAAUCCCUAGUAAUCGCGUGUCACCAUCGCGCGGUGAAUACGUCUCUGCUCCUUGCACUCACCGC